rnacentral:sRNA from 1 species
UCAAGAUGCUUUCGUGUGUAUUAUGGGAUUGUAUUUAUGGCCUUGUCCCUGCAUUGUGGAUGUCAAGGGCCAGUUGCCACGUGCUUAGUCAUAUACAUAAACUCAGGGAACACACACACGUAUGCUUAUGGACUCACACACACACACUUACCCACACUCACUCUAGCCACACUCACACUCAUAUAUACUCACCAGUACGCUCACACUCACACAUAUCCUUGCACACCCACACUCACACACACCAACACCCUUACCCACCCACACAUACCCUUACACACCCACACUCAAUGCUAGCCACACUCACAUAUACUCACCAAUACGCUCACACACACACACCCUUACAUACCCACACUCAUACUAGCCAUACUCACACUCAUAUAUACUCACCAAUAAGCUCACACACACCCUUACACACCCAUGCUCACACAUACCCUUACACACUCACACAUACUCUUACACGCCCACACUCACUACCCUUACACACACACACACCCUUACACACCACACUCACUCUAGCCACUCAUAUAUACUCACCAAUAAACUCACACACGCAUAGCCUUACAUACUCACACACACCCUUACACACAUUCACACACACUCAUACCCUUACACUGCCACACUCACACUACCCUUACACACCCUCUCACACACACCCUUACCCACACUCACACACAUACCUUUACACACCCACACUCGCACAUACCCUUACACACCCACACACACAUACCCUUAUACACCCACACUCACACACUCUAGCUACACCCACACUCAUAUAUAGUCACCAAUAUGCUCACACUCGCACUCACAUGCUGUCAUGCUCGCUCACACUCACACCGUUGCCCACUCACGUGCUAUCACUCUCACGGUGAAGUCUGCACCUGCCACCACUCAGGUUGCGAUGUGUGUUUCACUUUCAGCUCCUCUAAGGUUUUACUCGCCCUGGCUCCACCAAACUGGAUUUUACUAUAGUCUAUACUUAAAUAUUGUUCAUCUCUUCUUCUACACAAAAGUAUUAAGAAUUUACCUGCCUGUAAGUUAUUGGAAUAUCUUGGGCAAAAGCGAAUAAACUUUUCCUUUUCCCUUGUUCGACACCCCCUCGUCAGUGACCCCCACGACACGACCCCACCACCCUAUCUGGCUUGGCAUGUGAUGCUUCGGGAAGGGCACGGGGUUCACAUGGCUCCUGUUACCCUCUAAGCCUCAGAAAACAUUGGCACAGGCAGAGAGGAGAGCUGUCAUCUGAGUCUCUCUGUGGGAUCCUGGGCUCUUAGGGAAAGGCCGGACAGGGAGGGGUGGGAGAGAUUUCUGUGGCCUCCAAGAUUCCUGGGAAGGCGAAGUCUGGAUUUCCUUGGAGAGGAAGGAGGGUGUAGGCCAGCCACAUAAUUAGGGUGCAGUAGACAAACAGAAAUCAUUUCUUUUGGUCCCUCAUCUGCCUCAAGGCUGCGUUUGCUCCACGUGGCCGCACAGGCAUUUGCGUCUGUGCCCUUUGGGACUGGCAGAGAUGGAGGAGGAAGCCUUAAGCACCGUCUCUCCUGAUUAGCGCUCCACACGGCUCCUCUCCACAGCCCCCCCCCACCCACAAUGUCCCACUACUCAGACACGUGGGCCGUGGGUACAGAGGGAAAGGGACCUUGGGAAGAAUAGGGAGCCAAGCCACUCUUCACCCUCCCAGGUCACCCAUAGCGGGUCACAUGGGGACACGGUGGCCACUCACCCCCUGCCACUGAGUCCCACAGUACAGCUGCGCCUGUGGUCAGAUGCCACAGGGACACCAUAGCACCCGUCUAUUGUGUCAUUUCCUUGCUGCAUGAGGACCGAUGAUGUCCCCAGAGGCUCACUGGCUUCCCACAGCACAGAGGGACCUGGCACCGCUACCCCAAGAUGGUAUUGUCAAAACUAAACUACCUCCAUUUUUAUUUUUAAAAGUAUGAUGUCAAUGCAUAAAAUAAAAAUUGCUUUCUGUCAGAUGCUUCUUUAUUCAAGCCCCUAAAGAAAUGUUUUCUUGCCUAAGACAGCUCAUAUUAAAAUGUCUAAAGCCCAAAAGAAGUCUAAUAAAUUUCAGCUUUAUGACUUUGUUUACUCUGGGUGUAGGAAAAGAAGUCUUUUUUAUGUAGCCUAGUUUCCAGAACUUCAGGGUCAAAAGUUAACAAAUUUGGGGAAAACAGAAGAGAAAAGAUAGCAUACAGUAUUCUGUUUUCCUAUUAAAAUGAGGAAAACAAAGGAGUCAUCAGAACUAUAAUUUAUGGGAAAGUGUGCAGACAUCCAUCUGCUUUUAUUGAAAAAAUACACUGCAGAUGUUGGGCCUAAUUAUGAAUCCUCCAUUUUCUUGGUGAAAAACUUUAGUGGCAUCUCAAUCUCUGAUCAGUAAACUGGGUGUCGUAGCACUUACAAAAUAGAAUUAUUUCAUUGAUCUUUAGCCAUCUAUUUUUUUUUUGUAGAUGAGAGAGCAUUCAGCAUGAAGGCUGUUUCUAUCUGAAUACUAAAUGUUGGUUUCAUUCCCACAGGUUCACAGCAAACAGGAUUCCUAAAUGCCCUUAAGGACAGUCCUGCAAGUGUCCUGGAGGCUGUGGUGUGCUUCUUCUCUGUCUGGUCCAUCGUUGGCCUCUCAGGAUUCCACACCUACUUGAUCAGCUCCAACCAGACGACAAAUGAGGACAUUAAAGGAUCCUGGUCAAAUAAAAGAGGUAAAGAAAAUUACAAUCCCUACAGCUACGGAAAUAUCUUUACCAACUGCUGUGUUGCCCUGUGUGGGCCCAUCUCACCAAGCCUAAUUGACAGAAGAGGGUACAUCCAGCCCGACACGCCGCAGCCAGCAGCACCCUCCAAUGGCAUCACCAUGUACGGGGCCACGCAGUCACAGAGUGACAUGGCCGCGGCCACGCCCCUGCUGCAGAGCGAGCCCAGCCUCACCAGCGAUGAGCUGCACCUGCCCGGGAAGCCCGGCCUGGGCACGCCCUGCGCCAGCCUCACACUGGGCCCGCCCACACCUCCCGCCUCCAUGCCCAACCUCGCCGAGGCCACGCUCGCGGACGUGAUGCCCCGGAAAGAUGAGCACAUGGGCCACCAGUUCCUGACGCCCGAUGAGGCGCCCUCGCCCCCCAGGCUGCUGGCGGCGGGCAGCCCCCUGGCGCACAGCCGCACCAUGCACGUGCUGGGCCUGGCCAGCCAGGACUCCCUGCACGAGGACUCCGUGCGCGGCCUGGUGAAGCUCAGCUCCGUGUGACCCACGUGGCCCCGGGCCGGGGGGCACCAGAGGCUCCUCCACGGGCAGCGGGAGUGAGCAGAGGGGUGUGCCCCACAGUGACUUUCCCAGCCAGUGCCAUGGUGGAGAUGACAGCCCCAGGUCUGGGGUACAGAGACCAAUUAGGAUGGCACAGGGCGGCCGGCCCCGGAUGCUGAGAGCUUGGUUUCAUUUGAAUUUUCUUCCCCAACCUGAGUGCUUUGACAACAACGGAAAUAGAGAAGUGGCUGCUUUCUUUUGGUGACCCUCCAGGGGUGGAAUCGGAGUGUGUCUGCCCGCCCUUGUGACAGACACACGGAAGGCUUCUGACGCUUGUGGCCAGACUGCAAUUGCACUUACGUGUUAUGCUACUAAUAUUUGAAACAGACCUGCAAUUCCAUUUGUUAAUU